UGGGACACCUGGUCAACAGCACAAGUGAAGGGUGCUGGGGUUUCAGUUGACAGGAAGCCUUUGUGACUCAGCGGGGGAGGCGGCCAGCAGAGCUCACAUGGCUGCAGCCUCCCCAAGUGGAGGACAGUGAGCGGAGGCGGGAGGCAGGCUCCCAAGUCAGCGUGCAUCCAGGAAAUGCAGUCCAGGCCUGGGGACCCCAGUGGGACAGGGUGCCCGCAACCUGGCACUGGCGGGGGCGCCUCGCGCGGCUGCUGCCCCACGCUCCGCAUCUUUGCGUCACCACGGCACGUCAGCCUGUCUCUGAGCAGGUGCAGCCCCUUCCUGACUCUUCUGCACGUGCCUCACCUGCUUCGGGAACGGGCCACGCUUCAGUUUUGAUUUUGCGAUUAAUGUAACCCGAGUCAGCGCCGGGGCUCCUGGUGACCCCGUCUCUACAGCAAGUCCCGCUGAAAGACGUGCAAUGCAGCAAGCAACGGGGCGGGAGACACGUCAGUCUUCGCGCACAUCUCAGAGGUGAGGAAGGGUGAGGCCCCCUGCGCGUCUCUGUCUCACCAUCUCAGGCCUCAAGUCUUCUCUAGACUCCCGACGCCAGUGCGCCCAGCAGGCCGCCCCGCUUCGUCCUGUCGUGGCUCUGCUGUGCAGACGGACUUCACGUCCGUGUCUUUUCCUGUCCCUCCUUCUUUCCUCCUCUCCAUUCUUCUUCAAUUUUCUUUCCACUUCACGGCUGACCCAACUUCCUCCCCUCAAAGGAGGACCGAGGAACUGAUUCAACAAGCCAGGAAUUGCCCGCUUUCCUCCAGUCUCUCCGGUGAUCUGUCCCUCCCAUUCUCUCAGGGACUGGAUGGCCAGGACAGGACUCAUCUCAGGGAGCUGGACGAGGAGAAGCCGUGCAGACAGGAGCUGCCUCUGCAGUGGGGGAGGCGGGGCAUAGCGGCAACGGGGGGCGUGGAGGCCGGAGACCUCUACACACGAAGUGGGCCUCACUGCAAUGGCAUGUGGUCGCCGUGGGCGGGAGAUCCAGGCCACCCCUGAGGACAAGGCCCACCAGACUGCCACGUGACAACCCCUCUGUGAACAGCAGCGGGCGGAGACCCUCCCUGGCAGAGCUGACGCGUGUCUCUCUGCUGGUGUGGCCCGCGAUGUGCCGGGACAGGCCAUGCUCACCACAUGUCCCCAGGCUCCGCCCCCUCCCCGGCCUCCUCUGCCCCAGAGGCUGAGAUGGAGACUCGGGGGGCCCUGUGUUCCCGAUGGCGUGCAGAACGGGGAAGGCUCUCCCAGCUCGCUGUGUACCUUACAGGACAAGGGAGAAUCUCCCAUUGUGCCAGGGCCCUGAGAGCGCACUGCUGUCACGGCGGCGCGGCCUGGCCCCUCCCAGCGACCACCCGGAGUGGCGGGAUGAACUGAACAACUGCUCUUCGUGAGCUGUGCGGUGCGAUGAGGGGAAGGGCUGCCCCGGAGCCUCCCAGGGCAGCUGCUCGGCACCUCCUCUCACUGCCAUCAUCCCGCACAGAUGGCGCUUCCUGUUUGGUGGCACCUCACGUGGGCUCCUCGUCCCCCACCAACUCUGCCAGCCGCCAUCCCACACAGAUCAGAGCUCUCGGCUCCACGAGGUCGACAAGCAGUGGGGAGCCGUCACGAAGCCCUCGAAGCACGAGGCGGGCUGAGCUGAGGGCGCAGCCACACCUGGAGACAGACCGGAGCCGCCACGACGGCAGCCACAGCAGGGCCCGCAGCGCUCCGUCAGGCAGAGUUACCCGCGUCCUGAGCGCUGGGGGUGACGACCUAGCUUCUGUCCCGAAUCCUGCGUUGCCACGUGUCUGACUGGUUACCGCAGCCUCAGGAGGAGGAGAGCUGCCGAGCUCGCCGCACAGACAGGCGGGGGGUUUUGCAGAGACACCCGCCCCCACCCCUCCGGGACCGCGUGGCGUGUGAGGAGCUCCAGCUCUUGCACCCAGGUCUCUGACUCGAAGGGGUGGAUUUUAGAACAACAGCGCCCGUCUGCUCCCGGCGUGAGAGGCCGCGGCUGAUCUCAGUCCGCAAGCUCCUGGUCCCUGAGGAACUUCCACCUUCAGCCUGUGGGUGUGUGUCGGGGGGGGAGGGGCACCGCAGGGAGAGGCAGGCUCUGAACUGCUACAGGCAAGAGGGGUUUUCUUGGGAAAAGCCAUGGGCUAGAGGCAGAGUCCUGGCAGACCCUCUGAUCCACUUCAUAACUGUGAAACCUCCCUUUCCCCAUCUAGAAAUGGGAGGAGAGACAUUGAUCUACCUUAAAGGAUUUCUGUGAGGACCCAAGAGAGAAUGGGGUGAAAAGGUUUUGAAAAGUUGAAGUGCUUGUUUUAAGUAGGAAGUAAUAGAACACCCAACUACAAUGGUUUUACCAGCUGAAGCCUUUUUUCUCAUGAAAUAAGGAGUCCCUGGUGAGAGUGCAGGCCAGGGAAGGAGGUGAUAAUGCCAUCGAGGGCCUGGCCUCUUUCUGUUUUUCUGCUCUAGCUUCAUUGUCAUACAGCUACCUCAUAAACACAAAGAGGGUGCUGCACCUCCAGACCUUGCGUUCAAGUUCCAGGCAGGGAACAAGAAGGGAGGAGGAGGAAGAAUGGGUGCCUAUGUGAUGAAUGCAAAGGAUUUCUUAGAAGUUCAAUAGCUCACUGGUCAGCACUGCAAUCAGAGGGCCAGCUUCUCGGUAUAUGGGGGGCUGGAGGUGUGAGCAUUGGUGUUCAGGUGCACCACCACCCUGAUCAAAUCCAGGGCUUCGAUGGAACUGGAGAGGCUAGCACCCAUGGUGGGUGGCAGCCAGCAGUGCCUGCCCCAGCUGUUACUGGGAUGGGUGCUGAAUCCACAGGGAUCUUUUAGGUUCAGUCUCUGGAUUGGAGCGAAGGCAAACUGGGUGGCCUCAUCCUUUGAGGAAAAGCGUGGAGCCCAGUAUCCUACUGUCAGAAUGGGAAACAGGCAGGCUGGGGACACGAGGAAGGGUGAGCGAGCCUGCAGGUCUGGAAGGCUGAGGACAGAGUGUCGGUGGUCCCUCCCUCCCUUUCAUUCGUUCAGGUUCAUGAGUCCUGUCGGGGCGGGGAGAGCCGAAGCCGGGGAGCUCGCUUGUCGCCGCUGUGUUUGUGUAUGUCCCCACCCGAAGAUGUCUAACCACAGACUUCCUCUCGACUCCUGGCAACAGAGAGAAAACAAAACCACAGCAGCUUUCAUUGCUGAAAACACAGAACUCUCCCGUUCACCUAAUGAGCCGGACGGAAGGGCUUUAUUUCUGGGAGGAAAGGCUCAGGACUCCAGGCCCAGGAGCCGUGGCCGCGCAGUCGGACCCCAGACUGCGCACCGCCCGUCCAGGUGGAGGCGGGUGGGGCAGCCACCAGCCCGGGGGGCGGGGGCCGAGGCGCAGGGCCCACGGCACAGCUCUGCCGGGCCCUGCGACGCCGUCGGCCUCUUAGCCGAUUGUGGUUUCGUGGAAUCUGCACUUCGUUUGGCUUGUUCCCUGCGUUAUUUCAGCUAUUGAUUAAUGCCCGCUUCCUGCCCUGUUUCCUGAUUUCCACUGAUGUGUCUUCGGCUCCUUCAUUUUCAGUUGUCUCUCGUCAGGAAGGCGUCUCAGGGCCGCGCCUUUGCCCCUGAGCUGAGCUUUCUUCUGGAUCCCAUAGAUUUGGAAAGAAAAUGGUCCCCUUUUCCAUCUUUUUCUCGAUGAUUUGUAACUUCAGUUUUAAUAUUUCUUUUGCUCCACGGGUUAUCUAGAAGAAUGUUUCUUAAUUUCUAAGCAGUUAAGAAUAUUUUCAGCCACAUUAUCCUAUUUUUCUUUAUUUUAAAAUGUUGGAUGACAGUAAUAGACAGGGACCUGUAAAAUCUCCAAUUUUAAAUUAAAAUAUUUCUUUUCCUUGCGUCCAAGGGUGUGAUCAAACUUUAUAAGGGUUCCAUGGGGAAGGGAAAGCUGAGCUGGUCAGACUGACACAGGAAAGCAUGGCCUUCCAGGAUGUCCUAGCUCUGCAGUGCAGCGUUUUCAGCCCCUCUCCAGCUGUGUCUGUCCGUGAAGAACACACAGAACUUCUCUGAGCUUUGCUGGAAAGCUUUAAAAUGGGAGUUGACGGUAACACCCGCCCCUUCCCCUUGCUGUAAGAUGGUGUGAGGCUGUGACGGUCACGUGCCUAGAGUGGGGCCAGGCACGGAGCAGGCACUCGCUAAGCAGGAACCUUGCUGUUUCAGUGCGUUGUUGUUUUUGCAGAAGGGAGGAACCUUGCUGUCUGGACCCUGAGCUUUGUUCCUAACCCAGAGCUGUGGUUUGUGGUUAUUGUGGGGCCAGAAGAGAAGAGGAAAUUGAUGGCUGAACGCAGCCCUCGCCCUCGCCGGGAGGCGGGGCACCUGCGGCCAGAGGGAUGGGGCCACUUGCCCGUGGAAGCACAGCGACUUGGUGGCAAAGGCAGGCUUCACACCCAGGCCUCCGCCGGCCUUCCCUCCCCCUCUGCUGGCCGUGGCUCUGGUUUCUUUCUUGAAAGAAGAGACAGUUGACUGAAGCUUAGCCUCGGAGAUGCAGGGAGGGCUGGAAGCUCAGGUGGGGUGGCAACUUCUGAACUUGCCAUGUUAUCCCUUCGCCACCUGGGAAGGGUAACACAGGUCAGGAAGCUCCAAGACAAGCUGCAGGAAGAGGGUGGGGCUGGGCGUGCUUGGAUGCUCUGGGCAUCGCUGUUUGCUGGCUCAGUGUGCGCGGGGGGAAAAGCUAGGCUGGUCCGAGGGAGGGUCCUCCCAGCCAUCCCAGGAGGGGUCUGAGCUCCUCUGGGCCUCGACCCUUCGCUGGUCUGCCACGCCUCCCUGGCCCUGGGACUGACCCUGGCACUGACCCUGGCAAAGCCUGGCCCUCCCGGGACCCUGUCAGCACCUCUCUGGAGGUCUUCUCCGGAGCAGGCGUCGGGAGAGGAGCCCCGUGCUACUGGUCAGCGUGGCUCGGCUGUAUGGAUAUGGGAACCGGAGGGCGGGGGAGGCAGCCUGAGCCGGGCUGCGGAGGCCUGACUAAGAGGCAGAGCGACACAGGAUGUGGUCCUGGUUAGCUGCGGGGUGCUGGCAGCUUGCCCGGCGCACACAACUCAGAAGGCAUGCUGCCUUCUUUAUGGCGGAAGGCUGGGGACCAGGGGAGGGGAAGGAACCACAGGACAGAUUUACAAGGUGGAGGGUGCUGAGCUGUCCGACUGGGGCCGUCGAUCUUGGGAGCAAAUGAUCACUUCUUAGCCGAGGACUCCACGUAUCUGGAAGCACCAUGUAACCAGGACGUGCGUGGACCGUGACAAAUGCCUGUAGCAGAUACAGCAGCAUGUGGUUGAAGCCUGCGUGUGGACAUGUGUGGGCAGCUGGGCUCCGACCUCAGGUGUGGGCACGUGCUGUGGGGCAGGCAGCUACCAGGUCAGGCUGGGAUUAGGGGCUGAUUCCAGUGGCUCCUCCAUAUGCAAAGUAAAAAAUAAUGCCCCCCAUUAUUAUUACGGAAAUUAAAUCAAUGUAUACAAACGUGCUUUGUAGCUAUCAGCGCAAAUACAGAAGGGAGUUAAGGUGUUCACUGCUGCCCUACUGUGCGUGCAGGGGGUGCAUUUAAGAGCUGCACCACCAAGGGAAAGGGUCGAUCAGGCUCUGCCACCUGAGUGGGCCAAGGUGAGGCAGGUCGCAGAAGCCCCAGAUGCCAGCAUGUCCAAGGGGGGCCGCCACACAGCGAGUCCACAGCAGGCGCAGGGACCCUUCCCCACACAGGCCCCCUCGCACGGAGAAGAAGCCCCUGCAGGGCAGGGUCUUCAGAGCAGCCCCCCGCGGGGAAGGGCCCCUCGGGCCCUGGCGACCAGCCGGGGCCGCUUGGCUGCCAAGGACAGACAGUCGUUUGCUCAAGCAAAGUGAUGACCUGGGGGGAGGAGUUUCACAAAACCCAAGGGUGAAAAAUUCAGCCCCUCCUGGGGAACUAGAAUCAGGAACUGCAAAGUCAUGUGCACGUCCCCCCCUGGCACCCCCCACCCCGCCCGAGCUUGUCUUCUUCCUCUUUUUUCUCUCCAUUUCCAGCAGCAGAGGGGGGCCCCCAGCCAGGGCCCCUGUGCUCCCAUCAGUUCUGUGGCCAUGAAAGGGGGUGUCUCCUGGACAGCACGGCCCCAGAGCCCAGCCCGUGGGUGUGUUGGGGGUGGUUCUGAGGGGAGGGGUGCUGGCACUGGAUCAGCCCCCAGAGGUGGUCCAUUCUCUGUAGCCCCCUCCCCUGGGGAUCGGGUCGGUCAAAGGCCAUCUGGGGGAGGCUGCCCUCCAGAUGCAGAGAAGCCAGAAUCCCCAGGGACCUCGAAUCAGCUCUUCAGGAAGGAAGACAGAGACAGAGAAACCAAGACUCAGAAAAGCCUGCCUGUUCGCCCUUGAGACAGAACGGUUUCCCUGAGUGGGAAGGGAGGCCAGCUGUAGCUGGCGGAACAGAAAGCAGCAUGGGCUGCUGGGGUGCACACGGGCUCCCACUCCUGUGCUGGCCGCCCACCUCCCAGGAGAGAGGACGUCGCAAAGCAGUCAAGCACGUGGCCCCUGGCCUCCGCUCCACCUCGUUCAGUUCCAGCCACUGUUAUUUACCAGUAAUUUACUCACCCUUGCCAAGCCUCAGUUUUCUCACCGCUGGAAUGGGAAUGACGCUAGCCCAAAGAGAUGUCGCAGCCGCAGGAUUCAACGGGACUCCCGGAGAGAGCCCUCAGCGUGGUGUCUGGGUGGACUCAUCCAUGUUACUCGCCCCAGUGAUCCCUGUCCCCGCGUGGGCGCGCAGCGGGGCCUCGCCCCGUCCCUGGGGUUCAUUUGUUCGUUUUCAGUGGACAAUUACAAUGCAUCCAACGUGCUGGCCACCCUGCCUCCCCAGGGCUUCCUGAACUCCCCCACGUGCUCCCCGCUCUGGGGUCUCACUUGGGCUCUUUCCUGCUCUGUAAUCACUCCUUGCGAGGGCAGCCUGGCCAGGCCCUCGUCCUUGCCCGGGUGCAGCUCAGACCCACCUUCUUCGCUCUGGCUCGCAGCGGACCUGGGAAGGGGUUCACCCCUCCCUCCCCUGCUCCCCAGGCUCGGUCUGCUAGAGAGAGGCAGCAUCCUGCAGUGUGCGGCAGGGAGCCUGAGGUGCCAGGUCAGGCACACCCCCACCUGUGUGACCCGGGCUUGUCUGUGCCUCAGUCUCCUGGUGUGUCAAAUGGAGGUACUACAAACGGUUCUUCCUCUCACAGCGCCGCUGCGAGGAGUUGAUGCAAACCACAGACGCCACCGCCUGGCACCAGGGAGGGCUCACUAGAGGCUGGCUAUUGCUGGAUGUAACCUUCAGAAGCAAAUUUUACUGGCUGUGUCGUUGUCCUCGUGUGGGUGGAUCACCGCGCAGCUAACCGACCCCUUGUUGUUGGGCGUUCAGGCUGCUCCCAACCUUCCACUCUUAUAAAUAAUGCUGCAGUGAACACCUUGCAUAUAAAUCUUUCUGUUUAUCUCUGAUUGUUUCCUUGGAAGAACUCCCUAAAUCUUCUUGUCUUAGAACAAAGUCCUGUCCCCUCAGACUUUUCAAUGAUACCCUUUGAAAUAAAACUAAAGCUUAUUUUCCUUCAGAGGAAGAAACAUAUGGAACAUGUUAACCAAGAGGUGGUUCAGGAGGAAGGUAGAAAUUGGUUCAAGAUGAAUUUGGGUCCAGUGCAGGAUGUCUGACGCAGAGUCGGUUACAAAGCUCCCCUCGAGCCCCCUUCCCAGAGGAGAGGCAGAGCCUCGAUCCUCAGGGACCACUGAUUUCUUUCUUUGAGGCAAUGCCGAGGGGCUUUGAUGUUCCUGGCAUUGGAGAAGUAGCAAUGACAGGUCAAUGAGGCCAGAGUUGGUGGAGAACCCAGGACUCCUCCAGCCAGCAGGGGCGAUACCGCGUGUCUCCGCCGGCCAGCUGGGUUUCUUGUGAACAAGGACUUCCUCUGUUGUUGUCCUAAAACUUUGGCUUACAUUUUAUAUGUUCCUCCUGUUUUUCUUGCCCUCCUCCCACCUUUGCACUUUUCAGAUUCGCUUUGGGUGCACAUCUAUUUGUCCACUCAUUCCGGUGAAGCCUCUUGCCUGCCUCUCCUGAGCCAGACACCGAGAUUGCUUCUAGACCGUUAAGACCUAGACACGCUGGCUUUGGAAGCUCCACCCCGUGCAUGUCAGACAUACUGAAAUUCACUCGUAGUCCGCAUUAAGUAUAUUUUUCUCUGUUGAAAAAUUAUUUUUAUAACCUUGCUUUUGAAAUUAUUUGGCUACAAGUCAUUCCUUCGAUUGACAGUUGGCUUUGACUUCUCAGCACUUAUGGGGGCACUCAAGAAUUCUUGCAAAGUGAGAAAAUCUAACCUACACAGUGUUUUCAAAGAUAAUGAAAUUUUUAUGAAUUUUUAUGAAUACUCCAUGAAACCAUUAAUGAGGUUGAUGUAAUAUUUUGUUUGGUUGACGUUUCAUUAAAAUUUUAUUAAUUUCUAUUGCAAA